rnacentral:rRNA from 1 species
GGUAUUGCCUUGUAACGGGCGUGAAGCGGCAACAGAAAUUUGAAAUCUGCCCCUCGGGGUCCGAGUUGUAAUUUGUAGAGAGUGCGGGGGAGACUGCGAGCUAAGUCCAUUGGAACAUGGUGUCAUAGAGGGUGAGAAUCCCGUAUGUGACCGCGGAUCGAACCCAUGUGAAGCCUCUUCGACGAGUCGAGUUGUUUGGGAAUGCAGCUCAAAAUGGGUGGUAAAUUUCAUCUAAAGCUAAAUAUUGGCUGGAGACCGAUAGCGCACAAGUAGAGUGAUCGAAAGAUGAAAAGCACUUUGGAAAGAGAGUUAAACAGUACGUGAAAUUGUUGAAAGGGAAGCGCUGGCAACCAGACCUGCCCGUAGGCGAUCAGCCGCUGUUCUCAGCGGUGCACUCGCUCUGCGAUCAGGCCAGCAUCGGUUUCGGCGGUCGGAUAAAGGCCUUGGGAAUGUAGCUCCUUUUCGGGGGAGUUUUAUAGCCCUCGGUGCAAUGCGGCCAGCCGGGACCGAGGACCGCGCUUCGGCUAGGAUGCUGGCGUAAUGGUUGUCAGCGACCCGUCUUGAAACACGGACCAAGGAGUCUAACAUCUAUGCGAGUGUUUGGGUGUUAAACCCAUGCGCGGAAUGAAAGUGAACGGAGGUGAGAACCCUUAAGGGCGCAUCAUCGACCGAUCCAGA